rnacentral:lncRNA from 7 species
GAUGUGAGAAGAGAAGAAGCUUGUGUUGUGUUGUGUUGUGUUGUGUUGUGUUGUGUUGUGUUGUGUUGUGUUGUGUUGUGUUGUGUUGUGUUGUGUUGUGUUGUGUUGUGUUGUGUUGUGUUGUGUUGUGUUGUGUUGUGUUGUGUUGGUUCUUAUGUCUUUUAGCACUUUGAUUCUGUGUUUCCAGGUGUGUUGUGGCCAUGCAGUGAUCAAAGUGGCACCUUUCUGCUUAGGCUUCCUACAAGGCAGAAUGUUCAGUGAAACUGAUGAAGACAUGGAGAUUCAGCUUUGAGAAAUAAGAAGGCUAUUAAUCAUAUGGCUGAUCCAUCGAUCGUUCAGGACAUUCCCUGGCCCUGAAAACCUAAAAGAGCUUUGAUGUGAAGCAUGCAUCAGAAUAAAUAUUUCCUCCAUUGGACAGAAAGCUGGGAUCUGACAUUUUCGCUAUUUUCUAUUCACUGGAUGAAACAGCUGACUGCCUCUGGAAACAGCUGAGAGAAGAUUGGAGGCCCAAGCUCCUGCUGCCAUGCAUCAAGCAGAGCUGGUGGGCAGUGCCCGUCCCAGAGCUGGCCACGUAAGUCUGCGAUGAGAGACAAUAGAUGGAGCCAGAGAGACAAAGAAGUAACAGGAGCAAAGUUAGCUGAGGAGCCAGCAGUGUCCUGCCUGAUGAGACUGCAACAGAGCAGCAGCAUUUGCCAGGAAUAAGAAAUGAAACUUGAGCAAGAGUUCUAAGUAGCAGUGUUUUGUGAAAGUGUCUGCACGCUUCCCCAAUGGCCAAAGCAGUUCUGCUGUUCCAAGACAGGCAAGAAUUGGCAAACCAAGAGAAGUGGCAUUUCAAGCAGUAUGAUCUUGCCCUCUCGUGCUUCCUCUGCGCAGGAAAUACACAGAAGUAACAAAGAAAGGACAGCUUCUGGCUAGCAAAAGGGCAGCCUGCCCUGCUAUUCUGCAGCUGUGUAAACAUCAGCCGCAACCUCAGCUGCUGCUGUGAGGGAAGGACACGGAGCUGUGGGGAGCUGGGGGUUCCUCCAGCAGCUUUCCUUGUCCAGAGCUGAUCCUGUAUUUUCUGGAAGCAUUUGCUUUGACUCCAUCUGUCCUUGGAUUCGGCCUCCUGCAUGUCCCAGAGAGUCCCUCAGCCUCAGGAGAGCAACAGCAGCAGGAAUGAG